AUUGUAUAUUUAUAUUGCUUGAAAAUAAAAAUGUGAAUUUAUAUGGUAAUUACAUUCAAUUGUGCAUUUUCAGGCAAGUCCUUAAUUAAAACUUAAUAAGAAUUAGCUAAUGACUCAUUAUAUGAAAAACAAUAACCUUAGGUCCUAGGAAUAGCUCAGUGGUAUAAUACUUGUCUAACCUAGAAUUUGUAAACCUCUGGAUUCCAUCCCUAGCACCAGAUGGAGGGAGAGGGCAAGAAUGAGAGGGGAAUGAGGAGAAGAAUGAGAGGGGAAUGGGGAGGAAGGGAGGAGUCAGGGAGACAAUAAUAGCCAUGUGUUUUAUCCCAUUUUUAGACUUCUUGGUGAAAAUAAGUGAAAUUAUCCAGUACUUCAAGUCUCUCGCUGAAGUUUCAUUAACUGGAGGUGGAUACCAAUCUUGAAGUUUUCCAAAAUAGGAGAUAUCUACUUCUACAUAUAAGCAUUUACUAUAAGGUAACUAGCAACAUUUGUAUCUUAGAAACAUUACAUAAGUUUUAGACUUAACAUAUAGUUGGAAAAGGAAUAUUGGACUAUUAGAAUGCUUAUAAAAUCCUAAUUUAAAAGAACAUUUUCUUGGGAUGGAAUUCUGUUAUAUUCAUUGCAAUUUUUAUGUUUAUUUUGUGGUGACAAGAGGUCAAUAUGAAGUGUCUUUCUCACUUUCUCCAUCUAAUCUUUUGAGACAGGGUUUUCAGCUUGCCAUUUCUGCUACACUGAGUGGCUAGUGAGCUUUUGAGAGUCCAUGUGUUUCCACCUCCCAAGCCCCAGGAUUAUAGACAUGUGCUGCCAUGCCUGGUUUUUAUGUGG
rnacentral:lncRNA from 1 species